rnacentral:rRNA from 1 species
CCUACGGGAGGCAGCAGUGAGGAAUAUUGGUCAAUGGUCGGGAGACUGAACCAGCCAAGCCGCGUGAGGGAUGAAGGUACAGAGUAUCGUAAACCUCUUUUGUCAGGGAACAAAGGCGGGGACGUGUCCCCGGAGGAGUGUCCCUGAAGAAAAAGCAUCUGCUAACUACGUGCCAGCAGACGCGGUAAUACGGAGGAUGCGAGCGUUAUCCGGAUUUAUUGGGUUUAAAGGGUGCGCAGGCGGUCUGUUAAGUCAGCGGUCAAAGCCCGGGGCUCAACCCCGGCCCGCCGUUGAAACUGGCAGUCUCGAGUUGGAGAGAAGUAUGCGGAAUGCGCGGUGUAGAGGUGAAAUGCAUAGAUAUCGCGCAGAACUCCGAUUGCGAAGGCAGCAUGCCGGCUCCACACUGACGCUGAGGCACGAAAGCGUGGGUAUCGAACAGGAUUAGAUACCCUUGUAGUC